AAAAGGGUCUGCAGGGCUUCCAUGUUGUUAGGAGGGGGUGAGCCAGAGCUUGGUGGAGUCCCGCGUUGAAAAGGGUCUGCAGGGCUUCCAUGUUGUUAGGAGGGGGUGAGCCAGAGCUUGGUGGAGUCCCGCGUUGAAAAGGGUCUGCAGGGCUUCCAUGUUGUUAGGAGGGGGUGAGCCAGAGCUUGGUGGAGUCCCGCGUUGAAAAAGGUCUGCAGGGCUUCCAUGUUGUCUGGAGGGGGUGAGCCAGAGCUUGGUGGAGUCCCGCGUUGAAAAAGGUCUGCAGGGCUUCCAUGUUGUCUGGAGGGGGUGAGCCAGAGCUUGGUGGAGUCC